rnacentral:misc_RNA from 1 species
GAUGAAGAACGCAGCGAAAUGCGAUAAGUAAUGUGAAUUGCAGAAUUCAGUAAAUCAUCGAAUCUUUGAACGCACAUUGCGCCCGCCAGUAUUCUGGCGGGCAUGCCUGUCUGAGCGUCAUUUCAACCCUCAUGCCCCUAGGGCGUGGUGUUGGGGAUCGGCCAAAGCCCGCGAGGGACGGCCGGCCCCUAAAUCUAGUGGCGGACCCGUCGUGGCCUCCUCUGCGAAGUAGUGAUAUUCCGCAUCGGAGAGCGAUGAGCCCCUGCCGUUAAACCCCCAACUUUCCAAGGUUGACCUCAGAUCAGGUAGGAAUACCCGCUGAACUUAAGCAUAUCAAUAAGCGGAGGA